UUGGAGGGCAAGUCUGGUGCCAGCAGCUGCGGUAAUUCCAGCUCCAAUAGCGUAUAUUAAAGUUGUUGCAGUUAAAAAGCUCGUAGUUGAAUUUCGGGGUCAGUAGGUUGGUCAUGCCACUGGUAUGUACUGGUCUCACUGAUUCCUCCUUCCUGAUGAGCCGUAAUGCCAUUAAUUUGGUGUUGCGAGGAAUCUGGACUGUUACUUCGAAAAAAUUAGAGUGUUUAAAGCAAGCUAACGCUUGAAUACAUUAGCAUGGAAUAAUGAAAUAGGACGUUCGAUCCUAUUUUGUUGGUUUCUAGGAUUGACGUAAUGAUUAAUAGGGAUAGUUGGGGGCAUUAGUAUUCAAUUGUCAGAGGUGAAAUUCUUGGAUUUAUUGAAGACUAACUACUGCGAAAGCAUUUGCCAAGGAUGUUUUCAUUAAUCAAGAACGAAAGUUAGGGGAUCGAAGACGAUCAGAUACCGUCGUAGUCUUAACCAUAUACUAUGCCGACUAGGGAUCGGAUGAUGUUAAUUUUUUAAUGACUCAUUCGGCGCCUUACGGGAAACCAAAGUGUUUGGGUUC
rnacentral:rRNA from 1 species